rnacentral:pre_miRNA from 15 species
UGGAGCUCUCGGUGUAAGCCAGUGUUCAGUCUAUUGUUUCACAUUGGUUUCGAUUGUGACUAGAUCGAACACUCGCUUGCAACCUGGGUUU